rnacentral:rRNA from 1 species
UACGAAGGGGGCUAGCGUUGUUCGGAAUUACUGGGCGUAAAGCGCACGUAGGCGGAUAUUUAAGUCAGGGGUGAAAUCCCAGAGCUCAACUCUGGAACUGCCUUUGAUACUGGGUAUCUCGAGUAUGGAAGAGGUGAGUGGAAUUCCGAGUGUAGAGGUGAAAUUCGUAGAUAUUCGGAGGAACACCAGUGGCGAAGGCGGCUCACUGGUCCAUUACUGACGCUGAGGUGCGAAAGCGUGGGGAGCAAACGGG